rnacentral:rRNA from 1 species
AUAGUUUGAUUCUGGCUCAGAACGAACGCUGGCGGCGCGCCUAACACAUGCAAGUCGAACGAGAAUCCGGGGCAACUCGGUAGUAAAGUGGCAAACGGGUGAGGAAUGCAUGGGCAACCUACCCUUGAGAAGGGAAUAACCCGCCGAAAGGUGGGCUAAUACCCUAUACGCUUCCCUUUUUAUGAAGAGGGAAGGAAAGUUAAGCCGUGGGCUUGGCACUCAAGGAGGGGCUCAUGUCCUAUCAGCUUGUUGGUGGGGUAACGGCCUACCAAGGCUACGACGGGUAGCUGGUCUGAGAGGAUGAUCAGCCGCACUGGAACUGAGACACGGUCCAGACUCCUACGGGAGGCAGCAGUGGGGAAUAUUGGACAAUGGGCGCAAGCCUGAUCCAGCCAUGCCGCGUGAGUGAAGAAGGCCUUAGGGUUGUAAAGCUCUUUCGCUAGGGAAGAUAAUGACGGUACCUAGUAAAGAAGUCCCGGCUAACUCCGUGCCAGCAGCCGCGGUAAUACGGAGGGGACUAGCGUUGUUCGGAAUUACUGGGCGUAAAGAGUACGUAGGCUGUUUAUCAAGUUGGGUGUGAAAGCCCAGGGCUCAACCCUGGAACUGCACUCAAAACUGGUAAGCUAGAGAUCGGAAGAGGUAAGUGGAAUUCCCAGUGUAGAGGUGAAAUUCGUAGAUAUUGGGAAGAACACCAGUGGCGAAGGCGGCUUACUGGUCCGAGACUGACGCUGAGGUACGAAAGCGUGGGGAGCAAACAGGAUUAGAU